GACGAACGCUGGCGGCGUGCUUAACACAUGCCAGUCGAACGGAAAGGCCCUGCUUUUGUGGGGUGCUCGAGUGGCGAACGGGUGAGUAACACGUGAGUAACCUGCCCUUGACUUUGGGGUAACUUCAGGAAACUGGGGCUAAUACCGGAUAGGAGCUCCUGCUGCAUGGUGGGGGUUGGAAAGUUUCGGCGGUUGGGGAUGGACUCGCGGCUUAUCAGCUUGUUGGUGGGGUAGUGGCUUACCAAGGCUUUGACGGGUAGCCGGCCUGAGAGGGUGACCGGCCACAUUGGGACUGAGAUACGGCCCAGACUCCUACGGGAGGCAGCAGUGGGGAAUAUUGCACAAUGGGCGGAAGCCUGAUGCAGCAACGCCGCGUGCGGGAUGACGGCCUUCGGGUUGUAAACCGCUUUCGCCUGUGACGAAGCGUGAGUGACGGUAAUGGGUAAAGAAGCACCGGCUAACUACGUG
rnacentral:rRNA from 1 species